rnacentral:tRNA from 1 species
ACCUGGGUGGCUCAGUCAGUUAAGCGUCUGACUUCAGCUCAGGCCAAGAUCUUACAGUCUGUGAGUUCGAGCCCCGCCUCAGGCA